AGAUGCGGAGGAGGCCGAGUCGCUAGGCGCUUUCGGGGGCGCUGUGCCGGGGAGGCUUAGUCAAGGGGACCGGGAACCCUGGUUAGAUGCAGCAGCGGCGGCAGCAGCCCUCCCAGGUCCCACUUCCUUGGCGUUCCUGCUGCCCGUGACUCAAGGCAAUUGACUUCCAUCUGAACCCUCAGCUCCGAAGGCCUUGCAUUAGAAGCUAGAGCUUUGGAGGUUCUGAGGACGGUCCCUGGGGAGCAAGUGGUAGGUUUCGAGGCGCCUGCUUCCCCUCUGAUUCCUGCAGUUACUGAGGGAGAGUGCGCUAGAAAUGGCUUUGCUGCCGAAUGCAUUAUCUUGCCAUUUUCGUGUCCCAAUACUGAACAAACGAUCGCCUGAUCGAUCGAAAUAGGAGGGAAAGGUAGAGUGGAAAUUGAUUUCUUGCAGAGACUGAGGCUCUGAAUGAUAGAGGGAAUAAACAUUUGCCCUGGAUAAAAAUGUUCUUGGCUGUUGUCCAGCUCUAAUGAUGUCCUAGAGCAGAAGUGUUUCUUCUGUUGUCUCAUUUUACCAAGAGGAUGAUGUCUGUGUAUGUCUCUGUGUUUUAGAGAGGCUAACAAAUGCUGCUAAGAGGAUCUGAGGUUCACAUAAAGAGGCUGAAAAUUCGGAAUUACUUUCAUUGCAAAUAAAUGUUAACAAUUGUGAAAGUUAGAGAGCAUACUUUUCACAUAAGACUUUGAUAUGCUGCCUAAAGCUACUUACAAAAUUUGCUAUUCAGAGAAAUACGUUUGUUUAUUGAGGACCCACCCUGAGUUAAAUUACAAAAAUGUAACAUUCAGAUUUUUAUUUUAUAUGUGAAAUCAAUGUGUGAUUGCUGUUCUUAAAAAUUUGAAAAAAAAAAAACAGGAUAACAAAAAUAUUACUUUUGUUACCCAUAGUUCAUGAACUUUAAAAGCGUUUACAGCAUUUAAAGUUUAACAAUUUAAGUAUUAGAACACUAUACUAAUUCAUAUGAUUACAUUUGAUCAACUCCUUCAUGAAGCCACAGGCUUUGUAUCUCCUAGCUGCCUUUUACCUUCAGAACACAUCUGGUUUAUACUUAGACUGCUCCAAAAGUUAUGCAUUUUAAUUUUGUGUUGAGAAUGUCUUUCUUAGAUAAUCACAGUGCAUAUUGGCAGCUAGUACUUCAGUACAUUUUAUAUUAUUGGUAAUGCUUUUGUUAGCCAUCCUUGUGCUGCCUUCUUAUAAGAACUGUGUAUGAGUUCCAACUAAUAUAUUUCUUACCUAUUAACCCACUAAAAUUUCUAAUCUAAAAGCAAUAUUCAAGAUACAUUUUAUUACAGAAAUUGGAAAGCAAUUUGCCUGGGAAGCAAAAUGUUCAUAUGACUCAGGUGAUUUUAACAUUAAAUCUAACUUGUAACAAAAAUGAGUUAUAUAAAGAUAAAUAACUUGAGACUAUUAUUUGCAUAGCAAAGAAAGUCACACAUGAUAUACACAUUUAUGCAUAUAUAAUUAAUUUCAAUAAAAUAUUAAUAUU
rnacentral:lncRNA from 1 species